rnacentral:rRNA from 1 species
GACGUAGGGCGCGAGCGUUGUCCGGAUUUAUUGGGCGUAAAAGAGCUUGUAGGCGGUUUGUCGCGUCUGCUGUGAAAUUUCGGGGCUCAACCCCGAACUUGCAGUGGGUACGGGCAGACUAGAGUGUGGUAGGGGAGACGUGGAAAUUCCUGGUGUAGGCGGUGGAAAAUGCGCAGAUAUCAGGAGGAACACCGGUGGCGAAAGGCGGGUCUCUGGGCCGAUGACUGACGCUGAGGAGCGAAAGCGUGGGGAGCGAACAGG